UCCUUCUUGUGCUCUCUUUCCUCGGCCUUACUGGGCGUCAAGCGUGCGCCUGCGGUUUUGUAAGACAGAUGUGAAAUCCCCGGGCUUAACCUGGGAACUGCAUUUGUGCCUGAAAGACUAGAGUGCGGCAGAGGGGGGUAGAAUUCCACGUGUAGCAGUGAAAUGCGUAGAUAUGUGGAGGAAUACCGAUGGCGAAGGCAGCCCCCUGGGUCGACACUGACGCUCAUGCACGAAAGUGUGGGGAGCAAACAGG
rnacentral:rRNA from 1 species